rnacentral:rRNA from 1 species
AUUGAACGCUGGCGGCAUGCUUUACACAUGCCAGUCGAACGGCAGCGCGGGCUUCGGCCUGGCGGCGAGUGGCGAACGGGUGAGUAAUACAUCGGAACGUGCCCAGUAGUGGGGGAUAGCUCGGCGAAAGCCGGAUUAAUACCGCAUACGACCUGAGGGUGAUAGCGGGGGAUCUUCGGACCUCGCGCUAUUGGAGCGGCCGAUGGCAGAUUAGCUAGUUGGUGGGGUAAAGGCCUACCAAGGCGACGAUCUGUAGCUGGUCUGAGAGGACGACCAGCCACACUGGGACUGAGACACGGCCCAGACUCCUACGGGAGGCAGCAGUGGGGAAUUUUGGACAAUGGGCGAAAGCCUGAUCCAGCAAUGCCGCGUGUGUGAUGAAGGCCUUCGGGUUGUAAAGCACUUUUGGCGGGAACGAAAAGGACUGUGCCAAUACCACGGUUCGAUGACGGUACCCGCAGAAUAAGCACCGGCUAACUACGUG